rnacentral:rRNA from 1 species
AAUCAACGCUGGCGGCGUGCCUAACACAUGCAAGUCGAACGAGAAAGAGGGGGCAACUCCUUGAGUAAAGUGGCGACCGGGUGAGUAACACGUGACUAACCUACCCUUGAGUGGGGAAUAACCUUCCGAAAGGAGGGCUAAUACCGCAUAACAUCGCGAGGCGAGAUUCCUUGUGAUCAAAGGAGCAAUUCGCUUAAGGGGGGGGUCGCGGCUGAUUAGCUAGUUGGUGAGGUAACGGCUCACCAAGGCGAUGAUCAGUAUCCGGCCUGGGAGGGCGAACGGACACACUGGAAGUGAAACACGGGGCAGGCUCCUACGGGAGGGAGCAGUGGGGAAUUUUGCGCAAUGGGGGAAACCCUGACGCAGCAACGCCGCGUGGAGGAUGAAGGUCUUUGGAUUGUAAACUCCUUUCGCUCGGGGCGAUUAUGACGGUACCGGAAGAAGAAGCACCGGCUAACUCUGUGCCAGCAGCCGCCGUAACAC